rnacentral:lncRNA from 1 species
UCAUGUUUUAGUUUGUUUGCUCAGGUGAUCGAAUUCUUUUGGUUGUGUAUAUAUGUUGAUGUCAUAUUCGACAACGAACUUGACUUUUCAACCUAUUCUACGUAGGAAGUGUUGAAAUGUCAAAGAGCCACGUAUGACUCUAACCUUUCAAUGCACUCAAACCAUUAUUCGAGAAAUAAAGAUGAUCCUCACACGUAAAUAAUAUUGAGAUGCCCAACCUAGCAUUCAAAGUCUUUCUUGGACUAUCACCAAGUGUCUUGGCAUGCCACCAAGUGUCUUGGCAUGUCACCAAGUGGUUACCUCACCUUCUAGCUAGCAUGGUAAGAUUAGAGCAUAUUGUGACCUAAUCAUUAGAGAAGUAUAGUCUAAAUGGGUCUAGAACCUCAACCUCCAACGUCGAUACUUCGACCUCCAAGACCAAGGGUUCGACCUUCAAGGCUUAAGAGCCUUAACCUCCAAGGUCGAUACUUCAACCUCCAAGACCAAGAGUUCGACCUUCAAGGCUUAAGAGCUUUAACCUUCAAACUCUCUCUUGGACGUCCAAGAGUCGCAUAGAGACAUGUUAGCUAAUGGUUUACCCUUCACCCACCUUCCCCACGUGUCACAAAGGCAUGGCUCGAGACUAACUUGAUAAGAAGAGACCACAUAGUGUUGACACGUGUUACCAACUCUGCCAAACCCAUCUUGGAAUGUCAGGAAGCAAGGCUGACACCUUGAUUUUGGGGAAGAGCCAUGCUGAGCCCAUGCUCUUCCUUUCCACAUCACCAAACUCUCUUCCUAUAAAUAUCAAGCCUUCCCAAGGCUGAAGAGAACUAGGCAACUCUAUUUUUCUCUCUUAUUCCCCAUUAUAACUACACAACUUCUUCAUUUCACUUCUCUCUAGAAACAAUGCAAAAGUGCAUAGGAGAGACUCUCUCUUCUUUCCAUCACUAUGCCAAAAUGCAGUCUCUUAUUUGCCACUUACAACACUGAUAUGCUAACUCAUUGGGCACUUCUCUGCCUUCAUUUAUAUUGUUCAAACACUUUACUGACUUGGGCGUCGGAGAGUGUUUGGCCGGCCUUAGGCUGGUCCUCCGAUAACCUCCUAGCUCACAUGUCAACAAGUCAUCCACCAACUUGAGGAAGAGAAGGCCCAAGUCAAGUGGCGAAUGUCCAACGCCAAGAAAAAGGCUCGCGGAAGCUAGCUCGCCUUCAAGGAGUGGAGGAAGCUAGCUCACCUUCAAGGAGAGGAAUCCCACCACGAAGUACGUGGUACAUGAAGGCUCAACACCAGUCGAAUGAAGCUCAUCAAAGGGGUGGAGGAAGUCCACUAAUGAAAUGGAGGAAGCUAGCUCGCCUUCAAGAAGUGGAGGAAGCUAGCUCACCUUCAAGGAAAGGAAGUCCACUAAUGAAGUGGAGGAAGCUAGCUCGCCUUCAAGGAAUGGAGAAAGCUAGCUCACAUUCAAGGAAAGGAAGUCCACUAGUGAAGUGGAGGAAGCUAGCUCACCUUCAAGGAAAUGAAGCCCACCACAAAGUGGAGCAUAAAGGCUCGACAUCAGUCGGUGGAAGUCCACCAAAAGAGUGGAGGAAGUCCACCAAUGAAGUAGAGGAAGCUAGCUCACCUUCAAGGAGAGGAAGUCCACCACUUUACACUAAUGAUUUCAAUGGACCUCUCGUUGACCCAUUGGAGCUAAAAAAUGACACCAACAAUAUAUAUGUGAUUUCGUCAUUGCGCGAGUUCCACGUACUAUUUGCUUAAUAUUCUUCAACGAUCAUAGGGACGGAUCAAGAGCUAGCUAGCCUAGCUAGCAACGAUGGAAUAUAAUUAUAUUCUGUUUACCGAUCGAAUCGCAUGAAAUUCUACUUAAUGUAUGGAGUACGUAUGGAAUAUAUGACACAUAUGCUAGCUGAUGUAGAUUAGAAAAUAUAGAUGAGAUUGUGCAUGCCAAUGCGGGAAGGAAUCGAAUUCGAAUCGAAGGAUGCUGCCUACAAGAAUGGAACGCUCUCCUCUCUGCUAUGCAACAGCUCCCACAAAUUCUCAUCCCCAUGCCAUGAAAAGAAAAUCUAUCUGGGAUCUCCAUGAUUUGAGUUGUUGAGUACAUAUAUGCAUUGAUUUAAGGUCAGCCAUGUGCUGUUUGGGAUUCUGCAGAAGUCUUGGAUCGCAUAUCGCAGCAGAAUGCUUUUCACUUAAAACCGCAGAUUAUAAAUUCUAUCUCUCUUCGUUCUCAUUUCUGUUUUGCUGAGUUUUUGUUUCAGCAACAGGAAUCGUGCUAGUUAAUUGCAAAUUGCAGCUAGAUUUUUCCCUCCAGUUAAUCUCCAAGAGAUAGGAAUCUCUCGCUGUGUAAGAAAAGUAUAAAUCCAGAAAGAAAUAGUAUGGUCACGAGACGAGUUUCCA